UUUUUUGAUCUUUCUCCCCACAUAUUUGUGCCUGUAUGCAUAUAAAAAUGAACCAAAUUAAUUGAAGUUACAAAUGUACCCCCCAUCCUCUCUCAGCAGCUCCGGAUGAAGACGUAACCUAUUCUGAGGUCAAAACCAUCAACCCUACCGCCUCCAACACUGUGUGCCACUGUGGUUCAGCAGGGCACAGUGGGCAAAGCACAUAUCCCUACAGACGGGUUGCAGUGAGUCUGGGGCUGCUGUGUGCUCUCGUAUUGGCUGCCACAGUAGUCCUGUGUCUCCUCUAUGCAAGUCUAUCAGAUAACUAUUCAAUGUUGGAGAGAGAUCUGGAGGAGCUCAGAAGCAAUUGCAGCAGCAUGAAUACAUAGAAAGUCCAGCUACAGAAUCCUGGGGGAAAGGAAAGUCAGAUGGUAAAAAUAAAUUUGGUUGUGCCAUGAUUGCCCCUAAUGUGAAUGCAUGGAAUGCUUCUCACUGUUCUUAUGACCAUUAUUUCAUCUGUGAGACUAAUGCUCUGCUUCCCUAAACCAUUUUUUAUCAUUGUAUGUUUUUGGUUCUCUCAUCUUGUGAGAGGCCGUUGACCAUGCCAGGUUUGACAGUCAAACACAGGACCAAUAAGCAGACCACAAUGUUACCGUUUUUGUUGGGAAUAUAUGGAAUAUACAUACUGCUGUCUUUACUAGAAAUGUAUCUGUGAGACUAAGCUUUAUUAAAUGCAUUGAAAUUACUGUACAUGCAGAGUAGAUUUAAGCUAUUACAUUAUUGGUUCUAUGGACAUAUUGUAAGUAUAAAAAAUCAAAAACAAUACAUUUGAAAUGGUCCUCAUCUUGCUGUUGUGAUACUGUAAAUUUAAAUUGAAAUAGAGAACAGCAGUCACUGCUUAAAAAGCAAAUUUGUUCAUUGGGCCUCAUUUAUCAAUAAUUUCGUAAAUAUGCACAUAAGUUUCCCCGUAAAAUUAUACAAACGAACAACUGCCGCCGCAUUUAUCAAAUGUUUGGAGGCACUUAGUUUCAAUCUUAUCCCUGUGUGUAUGUUGAUAAAUCCAAAUCAGUCGUAAAUUGGAAGCGCGUUCGCGGUCGCCUCAUUGUAGCGCACCUCACGCGGUGACAGGGGGUCGGCCAGUGGGGUCAUCAACCCCUGCUUCAGCAGGUAACCCAUGUGUUGGAAUGGCAUAAGAUCUUCUUGUUUGCCUCGUUAAGUCUGGCUCUACGAUGCUGCACAGUCUCAAUUUAGAAGGGUUCUAGGGAAUCGGAACCGACUCAUGAGCCACUCGUCGUCCUCGGCAAAAAAGUCAUACCGGUCCCUGAAAAUGCGAUCUCGCCGAAGUGCUCUCGCCAAAUCCUCUAAUAGUGCAAGGUCCGCCAUUGCAAGCUUGGACUUAACAGCAUUUUGGCCAUUUAAAUAGUAUUUCUCAUCAAUUAUUUAAAAAACAAAACUGCAAUUAUGAAAUCAUAGCAACUCUUUGUAAUGCUAUUACUCAUUUCAAAUAUUUUUGUUUUACUUAAUUAAAAUAGUAUUCGCAACCAAUUUAUGUUAGUUUCUUUAUAAUUUAUCUUUCUUUAUGAUAUUUCAAUAUUUCAUGAGAAAAUACAUGGACAAAGAAGCCCAUUUAAUGACCAAUUUCAUCAAUAAAAGUGUAAAAUUCAAGUUAAAAGACGAACUGCGGAGUUUACACACACUCUGCGUGUGGUCUCAGGUUUUCAUAAAUUUCCUUCACACGUCUGAACAAGUUGGACUCCCUAAAACUUUCAUUAAUCCCAGUUUUCAUGUGUAAAUGUUGGUACAAAGGAAUUACGAGAAAUUUUGUUUGUAUGUUGCUUGAUAAAUGAGGCCCAUUGUGUGAAAGUAUGAGCUAAUAGGAAGAGCUCUUAGUACCUACUUACUCACUAUCUCAUAAAGGCUCUCCAAACAGACGCUGUGUCCUAAAGACAUAAGCCACAUGUACCCACAAGUAAACAAGUGGCAUGUGACUCUAUGGCUUAAAUUCAAAAAACAUUUAUCCUCAACUCUGACUUACAAGUAAUAUCCUUGCUUUAUAAUCCUUGCUGCAAUUGAUAGUCAAAUUUAAGGACUAAUGUUUAUUGAAUUUAGGCGUAUGUGGUUCCUGUGUUACAUUAAUCUCAAUCUGGCUGUAUCACAGAAGCAAGUCCACAAGCUAAGAGUGUGUGUAAAUGUUACAUUAAUACUCAUAAAUACCAAACUGAUAAAGCACUAAAAAUUAUAUUCCAUGCAUUUUUGAAGACUUUUCAAAGUGUAUUAAACUGUGUCAUUAAAGUUUUUGUUAUUCUGAAUGUUAGUUUGCUGCUGAAAUAUUCUGCUUCAAUUUCA